AUUUAGAUAGCUUAAUUUUUAAAGUAUAAUAUUGAAGAUAUUAGGAUAAGAAUAAUUUCUUUCUAAAUA
rnacentral:tRNA from 1 species